GACGUAGGGGGCGAGCGUUGUCCGGAUUUAUUGGGCGUAAAGAGCUCGUAGGCGGUCUGUCACGUCGGCUGUGAAAACCCGAGGCUCAACCUCGGGCCUGCAGUCGAUACGGGCAAACUAGAGUACUGCAGGGGAGACUGGAAUUCCUGGUGUAGCGGUGAAAUGCGCAGAUAUCAGGAGGAACACCGGUGGCGAAGGCGGGUCUCUGGGCAGUAACUGACGCUGAGGAGCGAAAGCGUGGGGAGCGAACAGG
rnacentral:rRNA from 1 species